CGAAGGGGGCUAGCGUUGCUCGGAAUCACUGGGCGUAAAGGGUGCGUAGGCGGGUCUUUAAGUCAGGGGGGAAAUCCUGGAGCUCAACUCCAGAACUGCCUUUGAUACUGAGGAUCUUGAGUUCGGGAGAGGUGAGUGGAACUGCGAGUGUAGAGGUGAAAUUCGUAGAUAUUCGCAAGAACACCAGUGGCGAAGGCGGCUCACUGGCCCGAUACUGACGCUGAGGCACGAAAGCGUGGGGAGCAAACAGG
rnacentral:rRNA from 1 species